rnacentral:rRNA from 1 species
UUGUACGAGUUCAGACUCGUAGCAGAUAGCUCAGUAACACGUGGCCAAACUACCCUAUGGAUCCGGAUAACCUCGGGAAACUGAGGCUAAUCCGGAAUACGAUUCUCAUCUUGGAAUUGCUGGAAAUCCAAAAGGCUCAGGCCCCUUAGGAGGUGGCUGCGGCCAAUUAGGUAAACGGGGGGGUAACGGCCCACCGGGCCAAUAAUCGGUACGGGUUGGGAAAGCAAAAGCCCGGAAACGGUAUCUGAAACAAAAUACCGGGCCCUACGGGGCGCACCAGGCGCGAAACCUUUACACUGCACGCCAGUGCAAUAAGGGAACUCCAAGUGCAAGGGCAUAUAUUCCUCGUUUUUCACCACCGUAAGGAGGUGGUAAAAUAAUUGCUGGGCAAAACCGGUGCCACCCGCCGCGGUAAUACCGGCAGCACAAGUGAUGACCGCUAUUAUUGGG